rnacentral:rRNA from 1 species
GACGAACGCUGGCGGCGUGCUUAACACAUGCAAGUCGAACGGAAAGGCCCUGCUUUUGUGGGGUGCUCGAGUGGCGAACGGGUGAGUAACACGUGAGUAACCUGCCCUUGACUUUGGGAUAACUUCAGGAAACUGGGGCUAAUACCGGAUAGGAGCUCCUGCUGCAUGGUGGGGGUUGGAAAGUUUCGGCGGUUGGGGAUGGACUCGCGGCUUAUCAGCUUGUUGGUGGGGUAGUGGCUUACCAAGGCUUUGACGGGUAGCCGGCCUGAGAGGGUGACCGACCACAUUGGGACUGAGAUACGGCCCAGACUCCUACGGUAGGCAGCAGUGGGGAAUAUUGCACAAUGGGCGGAAGCCUGAUGCAACAACGCCGCGUGCGGGAUGUCGGCCUUCGGGGUGUAAACCGCUUUCGCCUGUGACGAAGCGUGAGUGACGGUAAUGGGUAAAGAAGCACCGGCUAACUACGUG